rnacentral:SRP_RNA from 1 species
GCCGGGCGUGGUGGCACGUGCCUGUAAUCCCAGCUACGCAGGAGGCUGAGGCAGGAGAAUUGCUUUAACCUAGGAGGUGGAGUGUGCAGUGAGCCGAGAUCACGCCACUGCACUCCAGCCUGGGUGACAGAGCAAGACUCUGUCUCAG